CAGUCGCCGCGGGAAUACGAAGGGUGCAAGCGUUAAUCGGAAUUACUGGGCGUAAAGCGUGCGUAGGCGGUGAGUUAAGUCUGCUGUGAAAUCCCCGGGCUCAACCUGGGAAUGGCAGUGGAUACUGGCUCGCUAGAGUGUGUCAGAGGACGGUGGAAUUCCUGGUGUAGCGGUGAAAUGCGUAGAGAUCGGAAGGAACAUCUGUGGCAAAGGCGACUAUCUGGGCCAACACUGACACUGAGGCACGAAAGCGUGGGGAGCAAACAGGAUUAGAUACCCGCGUAGUCCCUGUCUCUUAUAC
rnacentral:rRNA from 1 species